UACGUAGGGUGCGAGCGUUAAUCGGAAUUACUGGGCGUAAAGCGUGCGCAGGCGGUUCGUUAAGUCAGAUGUGAAAGCCCCGGGCUCAACCUGGGAACUGCAUUUGAAACUGGCGGGCUUGAGUGCGGCAGAGGGGGGUGGAAUUCCGCGUGUAGCAGUGAAAUGCGUAGAGAUGCGGAGGAACACCGAUGGCGAAGGCAGCCCCCUGGGCCGAAACUGACGCUCAGGCACGAAAGCGUGGGGAGCAAACAGG
rnacentral:rRNA from 1 species